GAUGAACGCUAGCUACAGGCUUAACGCGUGCAAGUCGAGGGGAAACGACAUCGAAAGCUUGCUUUUGAUGGGCGUCGACCGGCGCACGGGUGAGUAACGCGUAUCCAACCUGCCCACCACUUGGGGAUAACCUUGCGAAAGUAAGACUAAUACCCAAUGAUAUCCCACGAAGACAUCUGAAUGGGAUUAAAGAUUUAUCGGUGAUGGAUGGGGAUGCGUCUGAUUAGCUUGUUGGCGGGGUAACGGCCCACCAAGGCAACGAUCAGUAGGGGUUCUGAGAGGAAGGUCCCCCACAUUGGAACUGAGACACGGUCCAAACUCCUACGGGAGGCAGCAGUGAGGAAUAUUGGUCAAUGGGCGAGAGCCUGAACCAGCCAAGUAGCGUGCAGGAAGACGGCCCUAUGGGUUGUAAACUGCUUUUAUAAGGGAAUAAAGUGGGUCACGUGUGACUUUUUGCAUGUACCUUAUGAAUAAGGACCGGCUAAUUCCGUG
rnacentral:rRNA from 1 species